rnacentral:ncRNA from 2 species
UACGGAGGGUGCGAGCGUUGUUCGGAAUUAUUGGGCGUAAAGCGCACGUAGGCGGUUCCUUAAGUCUCUUGGUGAAAGGCCGGGGCUCAACCCCGUUGCUUGCCGGGGAUACUGGGGGACUGGAGACAGGUAGAGGCGAGCGGAAUUCCGGGUGUAGCGGUGGAAUGCGUAGAGAUCCGGAAGAACACCAGAGGCGAAGGCGGCUCGCUGGACCUGAUCUGACGCUGAGGUGCGAAAGCGUGGGGAGCGAACAGG